CCUACGGGAGUCAGCAGUGAGGAAUAUUGGUCAAUGGACGAGAGUCUGAACCAGCCAAGUAGCGUGAAGUAUGACUGCCCUAUGGGCUGUACACUUCUUUUAUAAAGGAAUAAAACGAGGCACGUGUGCCUUUUUGCAUUUACUUUAUGUAUAAGUAUCGGCUAACUCCGUGCCAGCAGCCGAGGUAAUACGGAGGAUCCGAGCGUUAUACGGAUUUAUUGGGUUUAAAGGGAGCGUAGAUGGGUUGUUAUGUCAGUUGUGAAAGUUUGCGGCGCAACCGUAAAAUUGCAAUUGAUACUGGCAGUCUUGAGUACAGUUGAGGUAGGCGGAAUUCGUGGUGUAGCGGUGAAAUGCUUAGAUAUCACGAAGAACCCCGAUUGCGAAGGCAGCUUACUAAACUGUGACUGACAUUGAUGCUCGAAAGUGUGGGUAUCAAACAGGAUUAGAUACCCCAGUAGUC
rnacentral:rRNA from 1 species